rnacentral:rRNA from 1 species
UGCGUAGGCGGUUACUUAAGUAGGGUGUGAAAUGUCCCGGCUCGACCGGGGAAUGGCGCUCUAAACUGGGUGGCUUGAGUGAGAUAGAGGUGUGCGGAACUUCCGGUGGAGCGGUGAAAUGUGUUGAUAUCGGAGGGAACACCAUUGGCGAAAGCGGCACACUGGGUCUCAACUGACGCUGAGGCACGAAAGCCGAGGGGAAGGCAAACG